ensembl:lncRNA
GACGAAUAGUCCCCCUACCCGGAUGCGUCCGUGGGCGGCGCUUCUCGCCCGUCGGCCAAUGGGGCUGACGGCGCGGGGCGCGUCGCGCCUUCCCGUGGUGCCGCGCGGCGAGCGGCGGCAGGAGCGGCCGCGACUCCAUCCGGGUCUCGGCGCGGUUGCGGGUCACCCUGCGGCAGACUAACUUGAAGGUCCGGAAGUGCCGCCCCCGAGCGCUCCUGAUUGGCGGCCCGGCCGCGCCGCCCGCCGGGGAUAGGCUGCGGAUGCCGUCAGCGCCGGGCAGAAAAUCAACAACGGAGACCGUUCAGUUUUAAGCACAGUGUCAGAUUGUCCCAAACUUCUGUACUCGGAGUGUUUAUUAUAGCAGGCAAAUAUUUCUGCAACGCCUACAGGUAAUUACUUCUGGAUUUUUUCUAAUUCUCUACAUUAAUUUAUCUUCUCUAAGGAUAACACGUAAGAACAGAUUGAUUCCUUUAAGGUGGGGUAAUCGAAUACAAACGGUUGAUGUUCUAAUAAGUUGUGUUAACACUGCUAACUGAAGCAUCAAAUAUUAAUACUCGAGAAUGAGACUGUGGUUAGCUACUUCAGCAAAGAGCUUAAGUACAUGCUUCUCUGUCAGAGUGAGGUAGUAGAUUGUAUAGUUGUAGGGUAGUUAUUUUACCCUGUUCAGGAGAUAACUAUACAAUCUAUUGCCUUCCCUGAGGAGUAAAACAAACUGCGGUCCUUUGCUGUUGUUUGUUUCCACAUUGAGUAAAAGUUUACUUGUCAGAUAAGUUUAGGGUUGGAGAGUGUCACAUUAAUCCUGUAAAUUCUGUCCUUAAUUAACGAUCAGUUUGAAUGGUGCAAAUCCCAAACCUUAUGGAACUAAUACAACUUUUCUUUCAAGGUGAGUGGCACAGCACUGUCUGGACAUCAACAAUGCAUCUCUUAUAGAUACAGAACUGAAUACACCAUAGACUGGAAAUCAUUCUAAAACGAUUUGGUUUUGAACCUAAAAGUAGUCUUGGCUCAAGCUUAUACAUGGUGACAUAAACUGUUUUAAUUUCUGUAAUACAUUAACAUUCCAUCACUGUUCUGUAGAAGCUGGGAGACUUACAGUCAUACUUCAUUAAUACGCCUGCUUAUUUUUCUCUAGCUCUUCUAGCCAGAGAGACUUAAACAAUGUAAUACAAAGAUUAAAGUGUUGAAUGGCCAAAAUUGAUCCCUUCAACUGUUUAGGAGAAUGUAAAGCUAUGAAAUUUGAGUGCUCAAGAUCCAGAAUUGUAACUUCUGUCUGAAGAGGUUACUGAUUUUAUAAGAAGGCAUUUAAAGAUUGUGUUCUUUAUACCCCAUUAGCGCUAGGUGUACCCCCAUCUAGCUGCUUCUGCCCUAGGGUGACCACCUAACAUCUUCCUAUAACAACAAGGAACAAAAAGCAUGAAAACAUUCUGAUGACUGAAAGUUUAGCGUAGUAAGAGUGAAAAUGGAGCCAUUAAUGAGUACUUAAGCCAGGAGUGUUACUGGUUAACCACUUAUUAAACAGUGCUAACUGUAAACUUCUAGUACAUGCCCUGGCCUAAAAAUGCAGAAGACCAAAAGCAGCUGGUAAGCUAAGCUGGCUUCACAGAGCAGCUGCUAAGCAAGAAGAACUGCAGAAAGGAAGCAUUGGGCUCCUAGGAAGAGGUAGUGGGUUGCAUAGUUUUAGGGCAGGGAUUUUGCUCACAAGGAGGUAACUAUACAACCUGCUGCCUUUCUUAGGGCUUUAUUAUAACACCAGGACCAUUUUGGCUCCAUCCUAACCUCUGCAGCUUUGGUAUGUGAAGAGAAGUGAAGCUGUUUCUAAGCAUAUUGAGGUUUAAUGAAACUGGUGUCUCAGCAAAUUUGGUACAGACUUGAGCAUAGUACUAUUAACUGGAAUUUGGUAUUGUGAAAUGCUGCAUUUCAGGGCACACAUGUCAUUUUGUUGACAUUGGUGUUGUGAUAACUUACAAAGAUACUGAAGAAAAAUUCCAAGAGUAAGAUCAGAUUCCCUACAAUUAGGAUGGAGGUGUUACAUACUUCUUAACGUUCAGUUAAGUACUAAUGCUACAUACUUACAAACAGGCGGCUAUAAUGCACCUUCCUUUGGCUUUGUGAAGUUUCCAAGGAUCAACUUAAAACUCACCUGAAAGCUGGUGGGUUCCUGCAGGCAGGAAUAGGUUCUCCCAAAAAGUCAUGCUCUGUCAUGGAAUACUUGCAGUCCUACAGGAGCAUUUUCAAAGUGAAUGACUGCACAUCUGCUGUGGGGUUGUAUGUUGAGAAGUAGAUAAUCCUUUCAUGUAAUUACAGUGCAGUACCACCAUUGUUCUGGUAGGGCUUCAUCCAGAUGUGCUCUGCUGUGGGAUACAGAGACCCUUAACUGCUGAUCAACUUGGAAGAUUAAUGCUUUAUGCUUACAGCAGCCAGUUUUUAGAGUUCUGGCAAGACAGAAUCCUAGAUAUUAUAAACAUACUUAGUAUGUUAAUGGAAAUUGUCUAUUCAUUGAAGUGUACACACUUGAUUUACUCAAUAAAAGAAUUUUAUGCAACUCCUAUGGUGAAUUGACUUUACUUUCUACAAAAUAAGGAAGUGAAUUUUACAGGAAAACACCGCUCAGACUACUGAAGUGAAAUCAAGACCAUAUUAAAAGAAGUUUUAACAGUAAUUAGUGUAAAAAAUCCCACUGUAAAUUGUGAUUUUUGAUAUGAGACAUCACUGAUGGGAGACGAGGGGAAUCCUUACUUACAACUUUACUGUUGAAUGCAUAGGAAUUCUGCUUACUCCAGAGCUGUUAUCUGAGCAUAAGUUCUAAUUGUUGCUCACGAACGUAGACUUUUGAGAAGGUGAGCUCUUCUCUUGACUACACCUUGAUUUUUGCAUACAGUUGGUAAGGCAUCAGCAGGUACUAUUUAGGGAGGGAAAUGGAUACCCUGAAGUUUCAGUUUUUGCAGUAUUAAAACGCCUUAAAAGCUUCAGCACACUGAACACUGAUCUGUGUAUAAGGUGUAUGCUUAUGAAAGACUUAAAUAAUCAAAUCAGUGCUAGCAACUGCAACACUGCAUGCUAUGUUAUUAAAGCCUGUGUUAGGGAAGAACUAUAACUAGAUGAAAACCAGCAGCUACAUAGGCCUGUUAAUGUUCAGUUUGGUAUAAUAUGCAAGUUUUAGGCUUGAUGUGCACAUAUCUGUCCUGUGAAUAUAACAUUUCAUGUUACUGUCAGUGCUGCUGGCUCUCUUUUAACAGUAUACGUUUGAAGACAAAAAGUACACGUAGCUUUUAAUUUAUUAGUUUGACUGAAGUUGUAAACAUCUCAACAUUGAAAAAAGGCACCUGAUCAGAAAAUGUUAAAAACAGAACCCCUCUUCAUGGACUCCCAAGUGCUAUUUAGGUAAAAGUACCUGAAUUUUGGGAUUAGUAUCUCCAUAUGCUUUCAGUGUACUGUAAGCAGAUGGUGGAAAGAGAUACUGCCAUGUCAUAUACGGUCCCUCUUAUAUAACAUAAGCAGCCUUAAGGAAGGCAGCUAAUACUCAGUUCAUCAUUAUUCUUUUAAAACAGUUCAUUAGUUCUUGAUUUAAGGAUGCUAACCCCUGCCCCUCAUCUGCUCAGUAGGGGCUGUCUCACCCACGGCAGGUGCAGGCAUUUCCUCCAUUGUAAUUCGAAGCAGCUUGACUAAGUGACAAGGCUUGAACUAGAAAGGAAUUACGCUGUGGUUCAGCUCUCAUGUAACAAUCAGAUUAUUUCUUACCUUGAUGAUCUGCAGGUUCCACCCUGUAAAUGGUAUCUGCUUAGCAGAGCACAUGAUUUGUUUGCCUUUUUCCACAUGGAUAUCCAGUGAGGGGUCCAAGGAUGAGGUGGUAGUGCAGAAAGAAUCCUUCCGCUCAAGAAACAGUAGCUAAAGAAUGCAUAGCAAACAGCAGAAAAGUCUGCAGUAACAGUAGAGACAUGUUUACCACCCAUACCGAAGCAGUUUUGUCAUGGUGGUCUUGGAAACAUUCCAGUAGAGCUCUGAAAAUAGAAUAUAGCUGCUGUGGUGAUCCACAUCCCAGGAGAAUUGUUUGUGUUCCCUGCCUCUCCAUGCAGGAAGGUGAGCUUGGACAUCUUCCUGGUAGAAUGCAACCCGACACCUGCUGAGAUUUUCUAUACCAGAAAACAUGACUAGCAAACACUUUCAUUUCUAGAGAGACUUUGGGCACUUAGUGCCACAUUCACAGCCUAUGUACUUAAUGCAUUAAGAGUUACAGUUGCUGUGCUGCCUUACAGACGUAGGAUUGGGGCAGACACCAUAUUAAAAUAGUGUUGCCACAAGAAUUACUGAGAUUUCUGCAUAGCUUUUAGAUAACAAAGCUCCUAAGGAGCAUAUUCCACCAUACGAUAGUCUUACUAUAGCUUGAAAGGUGUUCUCUGCUAGUUUGUGUGGCUGGCAAAGGUUUACAUACUUAACCAUUGGUUUUCCUUUGUGCUUCUGUAUUUGACCUCCUUCCAACCAGAGGGAACAGAUGCAAGGAAAAACCUUUACAGAGAGAUGUUAGCAACUUGCACUUAGAACUACCAUAUCAUUUAUAUUUAGAUUCCUGGACUGCUUGAUCCAGUCAUUUGCAAUGCCAUGUCAUCCUUACACCAAAAAGCAGCUCUUGCUGCCUUUGGGCAAGCAGCAGGCUGGACUCAGUAAUAGGUGCAUACAGGUAGUCCAUCAUCUCUUGGAUUUACCAAGCAGUCUGUGUAAAAUACCUGAGAUAUACAUAUAUAUCAGUGUAUUUCAGACAUCCUCUUUUUUUUUCCCAUAUAUAUGUAUGGAUAUAUAUCCCUCAUAUAUAUAUAUAUAUAUAUAUAUAUAUAUAUAUAUAUGUCUGAAAUACACUGAUUGAAACAGACAAGUAUGCCAAGUUCAACUGAAUAUUAGUGGGUUCAGCUGGAACUCCCAAACCAUGUCACUCAGCUCCAGAAGCAUCAGUGCCAGGUGUGGCUUUCAGACCUCUGCUAAGGUUUAAGGGCCCCAGCAGACGAUACAGCUGGAUUCAGUCCAGAAAGCAGAUUUCAUUUAACAAUCUGUUGUGUAUUUUAUGAAGUCAUCUGUGAAGACGAGUUGUGACAGGAACUACUGGAAGCAUCAGAUGGCAGUGCAUGUUUUGUUGCAAUACAAUAAAUGAGAUUUGUUCUUACUGCAUGUACAGUGUUACUGGAAUUUUGUUUUUUGACAGUUAAACCCGCAACAUGAAGAGAGCUCAUACACAUCAGAAAUAAGAUGCUGCUAUUUUGAAGAUUACUGAAAUACAAAGUUGUUACAAGUCAUACUGCUUCUAAGGAUUGUAUUUUGAGGAAUCAAAAUGGUCCUAUCUGAUAUAGAACUUAACUGAAAAAAAAAAAUACUGCUUCUGGCACUGAAACCUUUAUAUAUAAUUGAGCUGAUUAUUUAAACAAUAAAACCAGAGCAGAGAAGGAUCAAAGUUGCAAUUGCAAAUCCCAGUUCUAUCAAGGGAGUUCACAUCGCCUUACACUUAAUGUAACGCAAUGGAAAGCACAGCAGCAGCACCACAGUAGCAAAGUCCUAGGCUGUAACAACUAAGCACAUGACCAAAUGUCACAGCUGUAGACACAGAAACAAAGAAAAGACUCUGCUUACCUACAGAAAGCCUGAGGUAGACAGGAACCUCCAGCAAGAUACCCUUGCCUCCACUGCCAAGCCUUAAAUGACCUCCGGGAAGAGGUGGAUCCUGGCUCCAUCCCUUCCAGUCACUCAGGUGCACUGCAUUGCAUUGCAUACACCUGAGCUUCCCUGGGUUGGUCCUGCCUUCCCACCAGGUGCUCAAUCACUGGUUCAGGCUGUGACAGCAUUUCUGCUACACUUACCUUUUUGCAUUGCCUUAAGAAUUUAUUACUCCCUUCAGUAGAGUACCUUUGGAGAUGUAUGUCAUCAGUAGGUGAAAGAGCACUGCGUUGAUCCCAGCAGCCUGCAAUGCUGUAACACACGAAGCCUGAUGCACAACUGGAACCUUCUGUGGCUCUUGCAGAGCUGCCUAAAAUGAGGAAGGAUGAGUGCAGAGAAGCAGAGGGAUGAAGAAGAAAGAGACGUAGUAUGAACUUCCCAGUAAAAAGAAGUUUCAAAACAAUGUCAAAUAGUACUUUUUCGACUGACUUUCUUCUCAUUUAAGCUGUGAUUGAUGCUUCUAAGACCUGGUCCAUAAAACUGAAGUGCACCUUACACCAAAAUAAGUACAAAGACUUUCCCUGAUACAUUACCUUUUAUUUUUCUUUUUAAUAAAAAGGAUGUGAAGCUGGUUUUAGGGGUUGAUGUAAUGCCACCCUGGUUAUUACUUCAUCAGCUGGCAUAUGCUACCUAAAUUGCUGUAUAAUUUAUGCAGCAAUGAAACAGGUGAUGCACAGCUGCUGAAGCCAGUGCACAGAAAGAUAGCACAGGACAGUCUUCCCUCAGUUCAUGUUUUGAACAAAUGCACUAUCCCUCCAUUUCCCUUUGCUGAGUCAAGUUAAAAGCAGCUACUGUGGAGAGUAUAGGAGAUCCCGCAGUUAAUGCUACCACUGCAAAGCAAACAAGCAAAGUCAACAUGUCUGAGUAGUCUCUUUCUGUUGCAGUGGUGGUGGCAGUGAUCAGAACAGUAUUUCUGCUGUUCAGACCAUCUCCACUUCAGCACUGAUGGUGCAGUAACACUGGAGAUGCCGUUCUGAUACAAUAGUUUUGCACCAAUUGGUGUAUUCUACUGCUGAUACUUUCAAUAAGUGAAAUAGGAAGACAGAACUUUAUCAGAGCAAUGGCAAAACAAAACACUAAGGUAAGGUAAUUAAAACAGUCGGAGCGCUAGACAUGAGAAUAAGUAAUGAAUAAAUAAAUACAGCAUGAAAUAACUAGAGUAGAUGAGUAUCUGAAGGGUGCAAAAGCAAGGAACACAUUAAUAGCAUAGUUAGGAUGCUAUUACAAAAG